AAGACAUUGUGUCUUCGAGUCGUUGAUUUCACACUGCCGAGAAAAGCCUCUAGAUAGAAAAUAGGUGCCCGUACCGCAAACCGACACAGGUAGUCAAGAUGAGAAUUCUAAGGUGAGCGAGCGAACUCUCGUUAAGGAACUCGGCAAAAUGACCCCGUAACUUCGGGAGAAGGGGUGCUCUUUAGGGUUAACGCCCAGAAGAGCCGCAGUGAAUAGGCCCAAGCGACUGUUUAUCAAAAACACAGGUCUCUGCUAAACCGUAAGGUGAUGUAUAGGGGCUGACGCCUGCCCGGUGCUGGAAGGUUAAGAGGAGUGGUUAGCUUCUGCGAAGCUACGAAUCGAAGCC
rnacentral:rRNA from 1 species